AAUAUCAUAGGCAUUCAUUUAAAAAAGAAAGACUGUUUUUGAUCCAGAAGUGGUGACUUUUCAUUCUCUGUGAUGUUGGUGAUAACUCUUCAUUCAAUUGUGACCUUGUUUUUCUUCCUUUCAGAUGGGGCAUUCUCUUCUCCCACCCUCGGGACUUUACCCCAGUGUGCACCACAGAGCUUGGCAGAGCUGCAAAGCUGGCACCAGAAUUUGCCAAGAGGAAUGUUAAGUUGAUUGCCCUUUCAAUAGACAGUGUUGAGGACCAUCUUGCGUGGAGCAAGGAUAUCAAUGCUUACAAUUGUGAAGAGCCCACAGAAAAGUUACCUUUUCCCAUCAUCGAUGAUAGGAAUCGGGAGCUUGCCAUCCUGUUGGGCAUGCUGGAUCCAGCAGAGAAGGAUGAAAAGGGCAUGCCUGUGACAGCUCGUGUGGUGUUUGUUUUUGGUCCUGAUAAGAAGCUGAAGCUGUCUAUCCUCUACCCAGCUACCACUGGCAGAAACUUUGAUGAGAUUCUCAGGGUAGUCAUCUCUCUCCAGCUGACAGCAGAAAAAAGGGUUGCCACCCCAGUUGAUUGGAAGGAUGGGGAUAGUGUGAUGGUCCUUCCAACCAUCCCUGAAGAAGAAGCCAAAAAACUUUUCCCAAAAGGAGUCUUCACCAAAGAGCUCCCAUCUGGCAAGAAAUACCUCCGCUACACACCCCAGCCUUAAGUCUCUUGGAGAAGUUGGUGCUGUGAGCCAGAUUGUCAGCUGCCAAUCGUGUUUUCCUGCAGCAAUUCCAUAAACACAUCCGGGUGUCAUCACAGCCAAGGUUUUUAGGUUGCUAUACCAAUGGCUUAUUAAAUGAAAAUGGCACUAAAA
rnacentral:sRNA from 1 species